UGACACAAAACGGUAGGCACACAGAUGAA
rnacentral:piRNA from 1 species